rnacentral:lncRNA from 1 species
GGUUCCAAUUUACAGCACAAAUUUCAACAAUUUCAUACAAUGUCAAAUCUUAACCGUUCACUUCAGAUCAGACGGUAUAGAACAGCUACGGCGUGCAACUGCGUGUAAAUAUUACAGCAGGAAAUCCCAUCCCGUAGUGGUACUUUGGUGGUAGGUGUGUAUGAUGAUGUCUAUCUGAAAAAAAUCACAUAAUUUCGUGAGGCCUAUGGUGGAGUUUUUUUUUCUUUUCUUUUCGCAAUUUGUUGAUUAUACCUUAAUCUUUGGUGAGAAUUUUGAACAAACGUUAGAACUAGGCGUUUAUGAUCCCUUUUAG